CUUUCUAGCAGGCAAAGCUAUUUGUCUUUCAUUCUAUUUAUCUGUUCAUUGUUGUAACUGGUAUCAAAGCACCGUUGCCUUUAAAGUGCCUUUAAGGUGCAUCGUCAAAGCCAUGUUUUGUUAUGUAUUGCUUUCGUAUGUGCCUUUGUAAAUCCAUCUAUCAUCAGAACCUGUACGACUUGUCGGUUUUAUAACCUGACUGACUCUCUAACUGACUGUGGUUAGUAGCUAACAAACUGUCUAACUGUCUAACUGCUGCUUAACCGUGUAUGUGGAAUAAACCUUCAGAAAGACAGUCGAGUUGUGCCCGCCGUACUUGUUCUGGUUACCCUUUCCAGAAGGGAGUAUUGAGCUGGAAAGACCAACCAGCAGAAAUCUGGACAGUUAUAAAACCGUUGUUGGCAACGUAUCAGUGCAGUACGGACAGCCGAGCGGAGGACGACAAUCGUGGAGCACCAGGACGCUGGUGAAGCGAAUCAGUCGUGAAUUACUAAAGAGGAGAAGCUGGAACAGAAGAGCCAACGCAGCCGUGAAUAAGGUUGUGCACUUGGAAUUCAGAGCUCUUCUGGGCGAAGAGCCUCACAGAGGAGAAGCCGGAACAAAGAGCCAACGCAGCCGUGAAUAAGGUUGUGCACUUGGAAUUCAGAGCUCUUCUGGGCGAAGAGCCUCACAGAGGAGAAGCUGGAACAGAAGAGCCAACGCAGCCGUGAAUAAGGUUGUGCACUUGGAAUUCAGGGCUCUUCUGGGCGAAGAGCCUCACAGAGGAGAAGCCGGAACAAAGAGCUAACGCAGCCGUGAAUAAGGUUGUGAGGAUUGCACAAGGAACAAAGAGCUCUUCUGGGCGAAGAGCCUCACAGACUGUGACAUUGAGACGUCGACAGUUGGGGGCGUUGACAUUCGUGUGCCAAAAAGACGUGUCGUUUGCAAAGAACUGAAUCCUUUGAACAAGUCACUGGCAACGAACCAGAGAGUCAAAUCAUUUGAACAAUUCCAAUUCCGGAGUUCAAAGAACAAAAAUGGCAGACGACAAGCCAGACCUGGAAGACCUACAACGGAAGCGAUCAAAUGCACAGCGGAGCCUAACGACGCGUAUAAACUGCCUUAAUUUCAAAGCUGGUCGUCUAGGCACAGGAAAAUUGUCGCAAGAGUUGGCAGGGUUGGAAAACGACUAUGAUACUUUCGUCGGCGCCUGCAGUGAAUAUAUCGAAGAACUGGAACAAAUAGACUCAACGGACGACAACUGUGAGUUAAGAGACACUCUGACAAAGAGGGACGCCAUUGGGCAAAGGUACCAUGAGACAAUGGAAAUGUUGUGGUUUAAGGAUGCUGAGCCAGAAAUAAGCACCCUUGUGGCACGGUUCAAUUUAGCUUUCGACCAGGCCGAGGUACUCGGCAGGAAAAGCGCACUACAGCGGUGUCAGCAAGAGGCCAGAAGGAAGGGACUGGAUCAAGAACUCCACGAACUCAGAGACACUGUGCAUGUUUGGAGAGACUAUCAGCCAUACGGGAAAGAAAAGUGGAGACUCCUUUUAACAUUGGAAAUUAAAAAGGAGGAACUGAUGGAUGAGUGGUCAUGCUGCCGGGAUAACAAACGGGGAGAUGGGCAUACCCGACCAGUAGCUCAUGCUAGUACCACCCCACCUGUUCGCACCCACUCGGCUAUUAGGCAGGGCACCGUAGCUGGCACCAGUCCCCCUCAUCAACCUCCUCAACAGCCUCAACAACCUAACUAUGGACCCACUGUCAGCUUUACUCAGCCUCCAACCCUCACCAGUACACCACCGAGGUUUCACACUGCUCCCACCAACACCAGCAUGGGACAAAGGGGAACUGUGCCCACCAGCAACUUUGGUACAGUCACAGGGGGAGAAGACAGCUCUCAGUGGGCCCGACCCAAAGCAAAGAUCACUCCGAUUAGCUUGCCUAAGAUUUCUGGGAGCAGGACGGCUGACUGGGAGAGUAUCCAGGCGCAAGCGGGUCCCACAGAGUCCUUUGAAGAAGAGAAGAAGAGACUGAAGGGUCAAGUGACAGAGUUACAGAAAGUAACGGAAGUCAAUGUCAAGAAGGUAGAGGAGCAGAGUAAACUGAGGGCCAAGAUGCCUGAGCUGCUGAGCUCUGAAAGAACCCAAACUGCAGAGCUGCAGGGGACCUUGGCGCAAAGUCAGGAGAAUCUCACUGAGCUUCAGUCUGACUUCUACCAGAAAGAGUCAGAAGAAGAAGAGUCUACUCUGCAUCAAGACCUCAAGGCACCAGAAGAGACCCAAACUGCAGAGCCGCAGGAGACCUUGGUGCAAAAUCAGGAGAAUCUCACUGAGCUUCAGUCUGACUUCUACCAGAAAGAGUCAGAAGAGUCUACUCUGCAUCAAGACCUUAAGGCACCAGAAGAAAGACUGAGCUUAGCACAGGAGGACUUGGCUACCAACACCAGCCAACUCCUGCUAACCACACCACUGCUAACUCCAAACCAGACAGGUUUGGAGGCUCAGACAAAGGAACUGAAGAGAAGCCACAGCUCAUUGGAGCCAGAGCUCACUGAACAAGAGCAGAAGCACCUGGUGAUACUGCCUUUAGAGAGCAGACUUUCUGAGAAAAUGCUAACACGGUGGCUUGCGCAUGGGAGCAGCCCCAAGAACUAUGCCUUCCAGGGAAACCAUUUCGAGAAGCUCUUAUUGUUCCUGGCGCCUUUCCUGAAAGGCCAAAAGUCAUUACCCACAAGAGUAGAGCUUUUGAAGUUCAGUGAGCCAAUCCCCAUUUACAUUUCUGAGAGACCCAGCUACCAUGAGAAGCCGGUCGACUGGAGGAGGAUCCUAGAGGGAGUGGAGAAGAUCCUGAAAGCAAGGGGCUUCUACCUCAAGCCCUGGGUCCGGUCUGGUCAAAGUGGGAGGAAGGACGAGGCAAAGCCUGACCAAAUUACUCUACUUACUGAAGGAGAAGUGGAUGUAAAAGCACCAAACCCAUUAACUCGUCGCGUCCUACUGAGCCAGAUCACUGGAUUGUACGACCCAAACGAUCUAACAACACCUGUGGAGCAAAAAGGUGUGAUUCCUGUGAGGAAGGCCUCCCAGGAGGCUGGCAAGUUCACUAAGGACACUUGGGAUGAGUCCCUCUCUGACGAACUCCGAGGGAAACCGAUCGAGCUGUUCAAGGAGUACACUCGCUUGGGGAGCAUCAAGUUCCACAGAAACCUCACACCCUCCGGCUGGAGGGGCAAGCCCUGGGGAAUCACAUUCUCUGACGGAAGCUGUGAAUCUUACGGCGCCAUACUGUACCUGCGAUGGGAAACGUCAGAUGGUGUAGUUACCCGGUUGGUGGACUCAAAGUCCAAGUUAACCCCCUUAAACCAAAAAGGCGAUGCAGUCGGAGUCGAAAUCUGUGGGGCUGUCUUCGCCGCACGCCUGAAGGAAUACAUGCUGAAGCAUGGGAGAUUGACUGUGGGAAAGUGGUAUCACUUCAUAGACAUUCAGACAGUGCUGGGAGCCAUCCAGCGAGACAGUUACAGAUUUCAAACAUUCUUUGCAGAUAGAGUCGGAGAGUUCCAGAAGGCUGGGCCCGUAACUGAUUGGUGGUGGAUCCCAGGUGAAGUCAACGUCGCUGAUCUUAUCACGAGAGGGUGUUCACCCGAGCGACUAGACGAAAACUCCGCGUGGCAGAAGGGUCCCGAGUUCCUGUCUAGUCCAGUUGAAGAUUGGCCUAUGAAAUCUGCCACAAAAGUGGCAGCUGAUGCUACAGAGACAGUGAGUAAACUCCAGAAGAAAGACUUUGCAGCAGCCCUCACCAGAACCCAAGCGCAGAAGUUGUUAAAUUCCGGUGGUGAAGGCCGGAAUUUCACAGAUGGAGUUAGCAAGUCUCUAGCAGGGCUCCAGUCGGAGCCAAAAUCGAUCCCUGUUGAGACCAAGAAAGAUGAGACACUGUGGGGAGCCGCACUCAUGGGUCUGAAAAGGUACAACCCUCUAGCUAAGCUCUGUGGAGGGGUCAGUUAUGCCCAAAAGGCUGUAAAGAAGUGGGUUGCUCGUAUAGGGAGAGCCCCUAUUCCAGCAAAGUGGGAGGUAGUACUGACAGUGACCGAACUUGAAACUGCAUUCCAAGAUCCCCCUACGUCAUCCCGCUACGUCAUCAGAGACACUGUGAGGCGGGGAAUAAAGAUGAAAGUCCGGGGUGUGGUACUCAGGUGCAUGGCUUCGAGAGCAAAGCAUGCUGACGUUGUGGAAGAUCUGUCGACGGAUGGAUUCCUAAAGGCGUACCAGCACUUCACGGCUCUCAGGGGCCACCCAAGAAAACUUUGGUCGGAUCAAGGGACCAACUUCGUGGGCACCAAGCCAGUUUUAAAGGAACUCUACGAAUUCCUUAGCAACAUCGACAGGGAUCAAGUCCAGGAGAAAGCAACCGCCACUUGGACCGACUGGUCGUGGGUGUUUCACCCAGCAGUCCAUACACUCAGGAGAGCGUCGAGCAACAUCGGGGUGGAAAGUCACCUGACAGCACUGCAGUUGCAGACUCUCCCCUACCUGGCAGCUAAUCUGUCAAACGAAAGACCAAUCGGCGCAAGAAUCCAGGUACAAGACGAGACUGUAGGAGUCAUCACUCACAACUCACUUCUGCUUGGCCGUGCUUGGCCUAGCAGGGACUCUCGAAGGUUUGAAUACCUGACUUACCCCGUUGUGUGCCUGAGAGCGGUCCAGAUCGAGGUUGACAAGUUCUGGAAGCGGUGGAGCCAGCUGGCGGGCCCGGGCCUCUUCGUUCGACAGAAGUGGCACGCAUCCGCAAGGAACGUCACGGUGGGAGACUUAGUGUGGUUGGCUGACCAGAAUGCACUGAGAGGCCAGUUUAGGCUCGGUCGAGUUGUGGAGGCCCAUCCUGAUGUGAAAGGCGUAGUACGAGAUGUGAAAGUGAGGACGUGCCAAAGUUGUCCGGUUUCCAGUGGACAAAGUGGGAAAGGCAAAGAAAAGGAGAACCGUCCCUCCACCAUCCUUCACAGAGAUGUCAGAAGGCUGGUGGUUCUGUUGCCAGUGGAGGGACAGAAAUAGAUUCCCCACCACAUGAUGGUGUGUUUCGGAAAAAGGGAUCAAGACCCCCCCUCCACCAUCCUCCACGAGAGGUGGUGGUGUGUUUCAGUAAAGGGCGUCACUGCGUCAUCAAGGACAAUGUGAAACCUUUAUUUGUCAUUUGUAUCUGUCAUUCACAUCGUGUGUAAUACGUUCGUACCCAGCGAUGUAGCUUUAUGUAUCCAUUUGAAAGUUAAAAAAUUGUCUGUGUAAUACGUUCAUACCCCGCGAUGUAGCUUUAUGUACCCAUUUGAAAGGUAAAAUUGUGUGUAACGCGUUCGUACCCAGCAAUGUAGCCAUUUCGAAAGGCAAAAUUUGUGGUUGUUGUGGCCUACUUGGAUUUAGGAAUCAGUAGGCCAAGUGGGAGGUGUAGAACUUUCUAGCAGGCAAAGCUAUUUGUCUUUCAUUCUAUUUAUCUGUUCAUUGUUGUAACUGGUAUCAAAGCACCGUUGCCUUUAAAGUGCCUUUAAGGUGCAUCGUCAAAGCCAUGUUUUGUUAUGUAUUGCUUUCGUAUGUGCCUUUGUAAAUCCAUCUAUCAUCAGAACCUGUACGACUUGUCGGUUUUAUAACCUGACUGACUCUCUAACUGACUGUGGUUAGUAGCUAACAAACUGUCUAACUGUCUAACUGCUGCUUAACCGUGUAUGUGGAAUAAACCUUCAGAAAGACAGUCGAGUUGUGCCCGCCGUACUUGUUCUGGUUACCCUUUCCAGAAGGGAGUAUUGAGCUGGAAAGACCAACCAG